GCCUUGCUGCAGCAAGCCUCCAUCUCGCGGUCUCUCGCUGAGGACCAAAAGACAUUGGUGUGCAGGAGAUUCAGUGCGUGUGUUUGUCAUUCCCGUGUGGAUUUUUUUCAAAGACAUUGUCAUCUGUGUAGAAGCCAGUUUCGAUCUCUGGUUUCUACCCCUUGCCCUGCUGGCAGGGCAUUGUGCGGCACCCGUUGCAGGCCACCUGGGUGCAGGAGAUCGAGGAGGGUGAAGGGAGGAGCAACCCUGAGCAUCUGCCAUCCAACUCCAUCCGAUCUAAAGCAAACACCCCCAGUGCCCAGGUGUCGUGGGCUGAGGAGGAGGAAGAGGAGGAGUACAUUGAGGAGGAGGAGGAGGAGCAGGAUUUGUCCCCUGAUGAAGAUACCAUCAUGGUGAUCCAGCAGCACCUCCAGGGCAGAGCUGAGACUCUGCACAACCGCUAUUCGCGGAGCCUGGACACCAUCCUCAGGGUCCGGCUGACAGAGACCCCACCAUGGAGAAGCUGCAGCACCUCCUGGAG